rnacentral:RNase_P_RNA from 1 species
GAAGUCUGCCAGGCAGUCGCUGCCCUGUUCGCAGGGUGGAGGAAAGUCCGGGCUCCAUAGGGCAAAGUGCCAGAUAACGUCUGGGCGGUGUGAGCCGACGGAAAGUGCAACAGAAAGUAAACCGCCUAAGCAUCUUCGGAUGCCGGUAAGGGUGAAACGGUGCGGUAAGAGCGCACCGCGUGGGUGGCAACAUUCCACGGCGAUGGUAAACCCCACUCGGAGCAAGACCAAAUAGGGAUCCAUAUAGGUGUGGCCCACACCGGAUCCGGGUAGGUCGCUAGAGGCGCAUGGUGACAUGCGUCCCAGAUGAAUGACUGUCCUCGACAGAACCCGGCUUAUCGGCAGACUUCCCCU